rnacentral:rRNA from 1 species
CACUCCUGCGGGAGGCAGCAGUGGGGAAUUUUGGACAAUGGGGGCAACCCUGAUCCAGCAAUGCCGCGUGAGUGAAGAAGGCCUUCGGGUUGUAAAGCUCUUUUGUCAGGGAAGAAACGGUGGUGGCGAAUAACUACUACUAAUGACGGUACCUGAAGAAUAAGCACCGGCUAACUACGUGCCAGCAGCCGCGGUAAUACGUAGGGUGCAAGCGUUAAUCGGAAUUACUGGGCGUAAAGCGUGCGCAGGCGGUUGUGUAAGUCAGAUGUGAAAUCCCCGGGCUCAACCUGGGAAUUGCAUUUGAGACUGCACGGCUAGAGUGUGUCAGAGGGGGGUAGAAUUCCACGUGUAGCAGUGAAAUGCGUAGAUAUGUGGAGGAAUACCGAUGGCGAAGGCAGCCCCCUGGGAUAACACUGACGCUCAUGCACGAAAGCGUGGGGAGCAAACAGGAUUAGAUACCCCGGUAGUCCCA